rnacentral:autocatalytically_spliced_intron from 1 species
GCUCGCUGAAUACGGGAAAUCCGUACGUUCAGUCUCGAUAUGGAAAGUCGAGGUCCCGCUAAAAGCGGGAUGGGAACGGGAAAUAGACUCAAUUAUCCCAAU